GAAUGGUGGUUGUAGCCCACUUAGCCCCCCUCGGAAGAAAAAUGUGAAAGUGGUCGACGGCUGGCCCAAAAUGAAAAAUUAGUGGCUAGGAACUCCGGCGGGGGGGGGGAGAUUCUGGCUUCGAAAGUGGUCCUCCACAGAGCGGUACCAUCACCGUUUGCAGCGGAGGCGCAUGCAUGCUUACAAGCUAUUCAGUUGGGGAUUCACCUGGGCCUCGAAUCCGUAAUAAUCGAAGGUGAUUCAAUGACAACAAUCAAGAAAUGCAGUUCAGCAAACCCGGAUAAGUCAGUAAUCGGGGCCAUUAUUAGGGAUAUUCACCGGCAAAAAGAACAUUUUCAGAGGGUAGUUUUCCAAUAUACACCUAAAUCUGCGAAUCUCCUUGCUCACACCCUAGCCUAUGCAAGUUUGAAGAAGGGGGAGGAAUUUUACCUGGACGGACAUUUGCCUGACUUGGUUCGUCGUGUGUUGGAGAUGAGAAGGCAAAGAAACCCGGAUUGAAAGCUGCUUGGAGGCUGCUCUGGUAGAGGGACAGGUAGCAGAAAAGGUUUUGGUUUUUGGAAACUGCUACGUCUUGGGUAUCUGGAACCGUUGAGAUUGAGUGAAUAUGGAGGGUUGUGUUGGGUGCCAGCUGCCUUCGUCGACUGGAUAGGAUUGAUUAGGAUUUAUUUUUAUUUUGUUUGGCCCUUAAUUUUGUGUCUUGGGCUGAGUCCAUCUUCUAUCUGACUCUAGGCUAGCCUUUGUUUAUUUCUGCUUAUUGAAUAAAUAUCCAAUCAAGUAUUUUUCAAAAAAAAAGAAAAAUUCUCCAAAUCCCUAAUUUUAAAUUUAUAAUAGUUUUUUUAAGUAAUAAA